UACACAAUGACCUGAAGUAUAUGUGUGCUCAUUCAAAGAAAGGGUUUCCUAUGAAUUAAUUAGAGAAUAUUCCUUCCAUUGUG